rnacentral:rRNA from 1 species
CAGUAGCCGCGGUAAUACGAAGGGGGCUAGCGUUGUUCGGAAUUACUGGGCGUAAAGGGCGCGUAGGCGGCCAUUCAAGUUAGAUGUGAAAGCCCUGGGCUCAACCUAGGAAUUGCAUUUGAUACUGUUUGGCUUGAGUAUGGGAGAGGUGAGUGGAAUUUCCGGUGUAGCGGUGAAAUUCGUAGAUAUUCGCAAGAACACCAGUGGCGAAGGCGGCUCACUGGCCCAUAACUGACGCUGAGGCACGAAAGCGUGGGGAGCAAACAGGAUUAGAUACCCCUGUAGUCCCUGUCUCUUAUAC